CGAUCCCUCCUAUUGUCCAUAUUGGAAAUGCCAUAUAUACACUUUGCAGGAAGCUGCUGCACCACAUAUUGUCUACCUUGUGUGUUAAUGCUCAAGGUUUUCCAUGCUACCCAGUGCUAGAGUAGUUCUUGCUUGUGUAUUGUUCUUUUUAUGCAUCUCAAAGCAAUGUGAAACUGGUAUCUUUUGCUGAUAUACAUCUUCCUUAAACAUAAAACAUUAAUUUUAAAGUUCAACAAGUGGCUAUCUAAGCUUUUCUUCAGUUCUGAAUGUUGUGGAUAAAUAUAGAGCAGCGAUGGUAUUAUCUAGGUGGUCCAAGCACUUCAUAUUCAUCCAGUCAGAUGGAUCGGUUUCUAUUUUCAGCAGAGCAAUAAUCUCUAUAAGAAAAACUGAAGUGCAGAUCACCUACCACAGCCUUUUAAUUACCUUACUACAUGGCUAACUAUCAUAUUUGUUAAAUGGGCAAUCUGCGACUUCUAGCUAAUCUUUUAUGCAGAGCACAAUAUAGGCUUCUUUGGUUAUUCAAAGUUUAAUGCUUGGCCUUUUAACAGGGUUAAAAUGAUAGGCCACUCACUCUGCACUAAUUCUGUGACCUGUCACUUCCACUUAGAUCAAAGCAUCCAUACAAAAUCACUUAGAGGUUAAGCAAUGCAAUCUCUACAUAAUACGCAGUACACAAAAAAUUAGUUGAUCCGUUUUUGUUUCUAUGAUGACCUUCUGAAUGUAUUAUACAUUUUUUCAUAAACCAGUUACCAGUCCUAACUAGAGUCAAAUGUUGAACUUUUGAAUGGUUCAAAAGGUAUUAUAAAAAGCACCAGGUCCAGAGCAAAAUGGAGAUUUUAGGCUUGAAGAUGUUGCUGCGUUCAGUAGUUCAUAGAAAUAUCAGAGCUUAUACCUGGAUAAAGGUAUGAAGAAUCUGAUGGCAAUUGAUCCCCCGUUGGUAAGUAGGUCUACAGAAACAUCAAAUUUACUGUGUGCUAUUUUUAGCUUUGCCUACAAUACAAUGCUCAAAUAGUGAUCAUGUAUAUACAUCCCGAGCAAAGACUGGAUUGUGUUCUUGUUACCAAAAUUUAACGGUACCUGUUGUGUUUAUCAACAUAAUUGAAGCAUGGAAGAAAAAUACAUAUCAUAUACUCAUCGUUUCCUAGAACCACUGGCCUGGCAAAGGACCUGCAUAAAAAGUAGUAUUGUUGCUUGAUUUUCUGUACUAGAGAGUUUAAUGCUCAUCGUUUCCUAGAGCCACUGGCGUUCCCUCUAAUAUGGUUACGUGUUUAAUGCUCAUUUGUUACUAAAUGUAUGAUCAUCAGUUCAGCACUACCAAUCUUCCCCAGAUAAAUUAUUUACUUCAUGAUGUCCCUAAAUCAAAUUAUCUGAGCCUAUCCAAAUAUAUAGUUUAGAAAAUGAGUAUGAGAGUUGGAAUACUUCUCUUCUUCCACUGCAGCCACAGUUUAUAUGUAUAAGUGAUAUUUACUAGCUGAAUUUAUCAUCACAUGAUCGAUCCUCACAUGUCAAAUGCAAUUUCUUUACUUUUUCCAUACAAGUAGUAGACUAAAAUUUGACGAGUCUUGCUCCAAGCAUUUGCUGCAGUAUGGUUUUUUAUAUGGUUUAAGUUAAACGAUGUGACAGUUUACAAACAGUUGGUGAGCACUGCUGGUUGUUAAGAUUAUUUGAGAGUUGGAGGAUAUGCUUCUUCAGGUAA